GUGGGGAGACAAUGCGUAAAGCAAUACGCGUCCAAUCGCACAUCAAACGCACACAGUCCGCAAGGCUAUUCGCAUGCGAAUACAUGUUGCGCUUCAUGCGUAUGAAGGCUGAUUGCGUAAAAGCCGCCUAACACACACCAAACGCACACAUGUCGCAACACAGUUCGCAUGCAAACAAAUGUUGCGUUUCAAACGUAUGAAGGCUCGUUGCGUCAAGUUCAAUGCGGCCUAAGCUAACACACACCAAAAAC
rnacentral:lncRNA from 1 species